UCUUGGUGUUCUGCACGAACUUCAAAUCCGGGGGUCGGUGGGC
rnacentral:tRNA from 11 species